GUGACCAUCAUCGAUGUUUUCACAAACAACUCUGCGCUCGGUAAGACAAAAUUGAUUUCUAGUUAAUGGUGUUGGUGGACGUUGAUGGAUGACGAAGGCAGUAUGGAGAACUACCUGAAAAGAGUGGAACCGACAGAGGAAGUGGAGACGGAGUCAGCACAAAAACGAAAGAGAGCGAUCGGUUGUUUGGGACCACUUCAAAAAGAGCAGUGACAAAGCGUAUGCCAUUUGCAACUAUUGUGGAAAACAUCUUAAGACAGCUGGCAAUACCUCAAACUUUCUUGACCAUCUUAAGCGCUUGCAUCCGAGUCGCAUGACCGCUGAUAAGGAACCAAUGCCUAAAACGAUGGCAACUUUUUUGAACAAGGAGCCGUUCUAUGGCAGUGACUCAAAUGUAAAAAAAAGACUGGAUAAAAAAGUGAUGGAUAUGAUUGUCAAAGACCCCCACAAAUCAUAACGCCCAAAACAUCGCAGACUCAAUAAGUUUAAUGUUGGCUAAGUGGGGUCUUUUGUCGAAGGUUGUCACCGUUACAACGGACAAUGAUAGUACAAUGAAAAAAGCGUGCGAUAUUUUGGAAUUCAAGCAUUUACCCUGUUUGGCACACACGAUAAAUCUGCUUGCUCAGGACAUCUUAAAACUGGCAGCAGUAAAUGUGAUUAUCUCAAAGUGCAAACGGAUAGUAACAUACUUCAAGCAUAGCACAAUAGCCACAGAUAAAUUAAAAGAAGCGCAAAAUACAAAUGAGCCGCUUCUCUUAAUUCAGGAAGUGAGCACUAGGUGGAACAGUGCAUACGCCAUGGUAAAAAGAAUACUUCAAAUAAAUGAAUAUGUAACUUUGACUUUGCUAAAACUGCGAAAUGGCCCUUCACCGAUCACAAAUAAGGAACUCGACGUCUUGAAUGACUUGUCGGAUUUGCUGUCGCCUUUUCACGAAGAGACUCUUUCGGUGUCGACUAACACAAAAGUGUCUGUGUCGCUAAUUAUUCCAGUCAUUGCCGAGAUUCAUCAUAAAAUAAAUCAAGUAAAGGCACAGUUGCGAACACAGGAAGGAAAAAAAUAUAUGUCGUUGUUCAAAAACGCUUAGUGGAAAAACUUGAUUCCUUUGAAACGCACACAAUUCCUCGCAUCGCUACUCUCGUUGAUCCUCGCUUCAAAAAAGAUGGCUUUCUCCGAAGUUCAAACGCAGAACAAGCAGCCGAAGCGUUGGAGCUGGAAUUGCUCUCUCUUGAGCCAACAACUCCACGACGUCCACCAACACCAGAAUCAACUUUAAACGAGGUAAGCAGCAAAUUUUCAUUUUUGCAAAAUAAGCCUAAGGGAAAGUCUACCAGAGCCGAUGCCACAAGGCAAUUUAUGGAAAAUAAAAACAUUCCUGACACUUGCGACCCCUUGAAGUAUUGGGAGAUGACUGCUGACAACGAGCUGAAAUUGGUUGCAAAAAAAUUUUUCUGUGUACAAGCCUCGUCCUGUGAGUCUGAAAGAGUAUUCAGCCUAGCUGGACAAACCAUAUCUGACCGCAGGACACGGCUUAAACCUAAAGUUGUUGAUAAACUUUUGUUCCUAAAUAGAAAUAGACACUUUAACUGAUCUUAAAUAAAUCUCAUGUUACUGUU